rnacentral:rRNA from 1 species
GAUGAACGCUGGCGGCGUGCCUAAUACAUGCAAGUCGAGCGAACAGACGAGGAGCUUGCUCCUCUGACGUUAGCGGCGGACGGGUGAGUAACACGUGGAUAACCUACCUAUAAGACUGGGAUAACUUCGGGAAACCGGAGCUAAUACCGGAUAAUAUAUUGAACCGCAUGGUUCAAUAGUGAAAGACGGUUUUGCUGUCACUUAUAGAUGGAUCCGCGCCGCAUUAGCUAGUUGGUAAGGUAACGGCUUACCAAGGCAACGAUGCGUAGCCGACCUGAGAGGGGGAUCGGCCACACUGGAACUGGGACACGGUCCAGACUCCUACGGGAGGCAGCAGGAGGGAAUCUUCCGCAAAGGGCGGAAGGCUGACGGAGCAACGCCGGGGGAGUGAGGAAGGGCGUCGGAUCGUAAAACUCUGUUAUUAGGGAAGGACAAAUGUGUAAGGAACUAUGGACGGCUUGACGGUACCUAAUCGGAAGGCCGCGGCUGGGUGGGUG